rnacentral:misc_RNA from 1 species
CGAGGUUUCCUGUCAAAUCGUGGAAAAUCGAAGUAUCGCAUGAAAAUUCAAUACGACGGUUUCCUGUCCAACAUUGCUUUGCGACGAUUUAACCUUACGUUACGUCGAUUUCACAACGCACCAGUCGCAAUCAGUUUCCUGUCAAAUCGCAUUUUGUUACGAUAAAACGACGUAGUCGUAAGUAAAUCUGCCUUCUUACGUCGACAGGAAACCAGGCUUAAGUGACAAGGCACUCAGACGGAAGUACGGGUUUUUAACGAUCUGAUUCACUAAGCGUCACAUGAUACGUGGAGGCACUCAGACAAAAAUACUAAUCCAAAUGAGAAGAAGACUUAAUAUAAGAGUUCCAGCGGAAGAUUGAUCGAGUUCCUAGUCCAUAUAUUAAGCGCCCUGAGCAUCUAACAUUAGAUGGAUAUGUGCGCUAUAUAAAACUACACUAUUAUUAUAUAUAUAUAUAUAUAUACUGUAUAUAUUAUAGUUUAAUAUGAUACAAUCAGUAAAUAAAGAAGGUGACGUUAAAGCAACAAAUGACUAUCGGUCAUUGACUAGCCCAGUCAUCAGAAACACACGACUAGUUACGGUAGAACCUGUCAUAGCAGGUUUCAUGAUGGCAGAUGGUAUAUUUUAUGGUGUUCAGUCAGAAUUCAUUCAAGGAAGAAUUGCUAUCCUCCAUAAUUACACUUUGCCAAACAACGCUGAAAAUGGAACGUGUUCCGUGAACGAGUCCAACGCACAGAGUAAGUUGCAAAGCGAGAUUCAGGCCGAAACAUCGGUGUGGUUGAUGUACUUUACACUAGCCUACGCCUUACCAUCGAUAUUUAUGACCGUAAUAAUUGGGGCAUGGAGCGACUCUGUUGGAAGAAGAUUCGCUGUUCUGACAUCUUCCGCUGGAACUCUUAUUAAUUUCAUCACUUGGACACUUGUUGCUCAUUUUGAACUUCAUCUAGAAAUUUUAAUCGCCUCAUCGUUUGUAAAAGGAUUAUGUGGAGCCACAUCUCUCUUCAAUGCUUCUUGUUUUACAUACAUAUGUGACGUUACUACAAAAGAAAACAGAACACCGAGAAUAAUUGUAUGUGACUGUGUUUUAUUGCUUUCGCUAGGUAUUGGUCAAUUGUGUGGAGGAUUUCUCGUUGAUUAUUUCGAUUUUACGAUUACGUUUACUAUCUCGGUUUGUUUUACCUCUAUGGCAAUUAUUUACACAUCGAUACCAUAUUUGCUCCGGGAAACUAUUCUCAUCAAAACCAGAUUUAAAGAAAAUUUGACAAGAUCUAUAAACGGUGUUGUGAAAGUACUGGCUGAAAAAGAUGUGGAGUAUAGAAAAACAUUUUAUAUUAUUAAUUUUGUAUUCUUCAUUUUAACGACCUUUACAACUGCAAACUCGCCAUAUGGAUUGCUGAUUGUUCAUUUUCUUGGUGAACCAUUUUGUUUUUCAUUCCUGUUAUUGUCGUAUUAUUCAGCCGCGAUGUCAUUUAGUCCAGCACUUGGAUUGGUUAUGUGCGCUUUAUUUUUGAAAAGAUGGCUUGACGAUUAUUGGCUUCUUCAUCUCGGCAUGUGUUCCGCCAUGCUAUUCUUCUAUGUUGGUGCCGCUGCCAAAACAACCGCAGUUGCAUUUGUCGUUCAGUUGAUCUUUUCUAGGAGUCGGACUUGGAAUCUUCAAGACCUUAUUUGGACCAUCAUGCCGAUCCUUAGUCUCCAAGAGUUCCUCUCCUCAGGAACAGGGUGCUGUUUUUGGAUUCUUAGGGAUGGCAGAUGCAUUAGCAGGUAUUGCCUCGCCUCUUAUUCUUAACAACAUAUAUUCAGUGACUGUCUACAGCAUGCCUACGUUCGUGUUCUGGAUGUGUGGCAGUUUCUGCCUGUUACCAAUUAUAGCAGUCAGUUAUCUGCAGCUUAAUAACCGGAACAAGAAACAGAAAAUAGUUAUAGAUGUGAAUUCAGAUAUAACACCAGAUAACCCCUCUAUGAUGAAUUGAGGAUUUCGCCAGGACCUGUCAAGGACGAAGAAAAUACUUACCGUACCAUAUUUUCUAAACUAACACAGACAUUUUUCAGGUGGACCAGCAUAUUUGGUGUAAUAUAUUGUAUCCCUGUACAUAUCUGAAGAUGCAUUCUUCAAUCAAUUGAAGAAUGUACAGAAUUGACACAAGUUGGAUGAACCCAUAAAAAAGAGAAAACAUUACUGUAAACUAGACUAGACACUAAUUCCCCAAGUUGACGCAAGGGAAACGGAUAGAAUUUAACAUGGGACAGAAAAAUCCGAAAGGAUUUUUAUGGUCCAGCACACGUACAAUUGAUACCAAUUUAGCCUAAUGAACUAUAACAUGUCUAUAUCUCUAUGAUAAAUCAACGUCUAUUUAAGUUUGCCUAAUUUUAUUUAAUGUGCAUCCAAACGAUAGCAAUAUAUACUUGAGUUGUUUCACUACUCUAUAAGUCGAGUAAAUACUUUUGUUUUCAAAAAUCUAGAUUUAAAAAACAAUAGUAGGGAAAAUAGAUCUCAAUUGAAAAUACGAUUAUACACAUUAUUAUUGGUCCUUUAUUUAGGAUAUCCUCGAGUUGGCAAUUAAUUUUUAUGUUAGCCAUGGCAAUUUUGCAUAUUUUGAACCAAGUCCGUCACUGGAAUAUUAAUUUUUUUUUAUCACACGAAAGCUAUU